AUCACUUGUGACCUUGCGCUAAUAGAUGAGCCUAAGUCGGAUUAGCUAGUUGGUGGGGUAAAGGCCUACCAAGGCGACUAUCUGUAGCGGGUCUGAGAGGAUGAUCCGCCACACUGGGACUGAGACACGGCCCACACUCCUACGGGAGGCAGCAGUGGGGAAUAUUGGACAAUGGGGGGAACCCUGAUCCAGCCAUGCCGCGUGUGUGAAGAAGGCCUUUUGGUUGUAAAGCACUUUAAGUGGGGAGGAGGCUCACCUGGUUAAUACCUGGGAUGAGUGGACGUUACCCACAGAAUAAGCACCGGCUAACUCUG
rnacentral:rRNA from 2 species